rnacentral:rRNA from 1 species
UACGGAGGGGGCUAGCGUUAUUCGGAAUUACUGGGCGUAAAGCGCACGUAGGCGGCUUUGUAAGUAAGAGGUGAAAGCCUGGAGCUCAACUCCAGAACUGCCUUUUUAGACUGCAUCGCUUGAAUCCAGGAGAGGUGAGUGGAAUUCCGAGUGUAGAGGUGAAACUCGUAGAUAUUCGGAAGAACACCAGUGGCGAAGGCGGCUCACUGGACUGGUAUUGACGCUGAGGUGCGAAAGCGUGGGGAGCAAACAGG